rnacentral:siRNA from 1 species
GUGUUUAGGGUAUGUCUUACA